rnacentral:misc_RNA from 1 species
GCAAAAUUAGCUUUUAGACCUUAACAAAAAAGAGCCUAAAAGUAAUUUAGAGGUCAUUACAACUUUGGUGAUAUAUGCAAUCUUUAUUACAACAAAAUAACAUCUCUAGUCUUAUCUUGCUUCAAUGACAGUAAUGGAACAAUCAUUAAUUGAACAUUGUUCUGUUUUGUUUGAUGACGAAUAUGAUUCAGCUUCGUCUCUUCCUGUGAAAAAUGCAGGUUGUUUUGCGAUUGGCAGUGACAUACUUCCAUUACCAAGCAUUGAGAUAACAUCAGACAUUGUUGGCCUAUCUGUUGCUCCUUCUUGUACACAUAAUAGUCCGACAUGUAUAACUCGUAAAAAUUGUUCAGUGUCGUAAAGAUCUUCAAGAGCUGGAUCCUUCAGUUCUAGUCCACACCCUUCUUUCCAUAGUUCCCAUGCAUAACCUAUUAAGUUGAGCGGACGAUUGAAUUGUUGUAAGCUAGCAUUUCUCCUACCACUCAAAAUUUCCAGCAUUAAGACUCCAAAGCUGAAGACAUCAGACUUGAUUGAGAAAGCUCCUUCCAUGGCGAACUCGGGAGCCAUGUAACCAUAUGUUCCAACAACCCUUCGAGUCACUGCUUCCGUCUCAUUCUGUUUGAAAGUUCUUGCCAGACCAAAAUCAGCUAUCUUAGGAUUCAUGUUUUCAUCCAAGAGCACAUUACUGGCCUUUAGAUCUCUAUGUAUCACUCUCAUUCUUGAGUAUUUGUGAAGAUAGAGUAAUCCUUGAGCAAUUCCUUCGAUAAUCUCAAAGCGCUUCUGCCAAUCCAGUAGCUUCUUUGUUUCAGGAUCAAAAAGGAAGAAGUCCAAGCUCUUGUUAGGCAUGUACUCAUAUAUCAACAUUUUCUCAUCUCCGUGAAUACAACAUCCUAGAACUCGAACUAGAUUCCUGUGCUGAACCUUGGCAAUUAGUAUAAGCUCAUUCUUGAACUCCGCAAGUCCUUGACCUGAUGUUCUUGAAAGUCUCUUGACUGCCACCUCUCUCCCAUCAGGAAAUUGUCCCUUAUAAACAGGUCCAAAACCACCCUCUCCAAGCUUG